GGUGGUGGGGGGGUGGGCAGUGGUAAGUGCUAAUUUUUGGGAAUCACCGUACCUUAUCAAUGGGUUGAAAUGGCCUAAUCUUGUUCCUGUUUAUUGUAGUCGGAUAAAACUGAUGGCCACUGAGCUGGGAGCUGCUGCGCUUGGACUAUUAUUAUACAAAUCAAGGGGUUGGGAGCUCCCGGAAUCACACAAUGGCUACCGGAAAAAUAGUAAUAAAGGCUGUGGGCUGAGCCACACGAAACAGAAGAUUUUGCUCCUGACCUGACCUGGCAGUAGUCUGGACAUCUGAACGCACGAGGUACAACCUUGAAACCCAGGCAGUCCCAGAGCAUGGAAUUCACCGGUUGUGUUGGUAGAUUACAAGGCACACUUUAUCCCAGUUCUAUAUAAUUUAAAUUUGAAACAAAUGCACACCCUUUGAUAAAUUAG